AUUGAUGUUUCUUUCUUCUUAUUUAUUAUCCUGUCAAUGACAUAUAUUGUACCUAGACACAUAGUUGUGCAAAAUUCUACCUGUUCAUGUCAAAUAAUUGCAAGAAGUUCUGUUUUACUGAAGUUCUACAAAUUUCUUUUUAACUGUUAGUACAUUAGUAUUCCAUAGACAAACAUUUACUUAUAUCAUUGUAUCAUUAUCAUGUUUACUCUGUUUGUAUUGCACCAGACUUAUGUAAUUCUGUAUGACCAAUCCAUUUUUUGUGUGAUCCAUCCCAGUCUUAUCAGUUAUUAACCUAUCCAUUCAGAAUUUCUUAGAUUUUAGGUGGCUGCCUAAUACAAAAUGCAAAUGUAUAUAUCAAAUAAUAAUAACAUUCUCCAUCCACAAUUCUUGGUUUCCCACUCUUCUUGACUCAUAUAUAUGUAAUUAAAGUAAAGCCCAAUUUUCAUGCCUCUAAUAUUAAAGCUGAAUUUCCUUUGCUAAUUUUGUCAAUUUCCAAGACUCUAACAAUCUAAUCAAAAUCAAUUAGUGUUACAGUAUUUUUUUAUAGUCCAUUUUUGUAGACUCUCCCAAAUAGCUUCUGAAUACCAAGUAUCUCGAGCUUCUCAUGCCUGGAGAUACUUCUCUAGGAGUUUUGUUCCAUCUAGCCCAUUUAAAAUUUGUCCCCCGUUUCCACUUCAUGUUCAUCACCUCUGAUUCCUGUAUUCAAAUUCCUGCUACGUUAAUUUGGGUCUACAUCUUUCUUAAAAUUUGGAUGUUUUCAUAGACACCUCUCUAUCUAAGUAGGGGCUUUUGUUAUUCUGGGUGUAUAUUUUCUUGCAGGUUUUUUGAUUGGAGAUGCUGUAAUUGUUGUUUUGGUUGUAUAUUUAUGUCUCGUUGUCUUCCAGCCUUGUUGCCUCUUCAGGAAAUACAUUUGUCACAUCUUCCUCUAUAAUCCCGUAAUGAUCAGCUCUCUGUAUUAAAAUUCCCACUUUGUAUGCCACAGUGUCUAGAAAUUUGACCCACUAAAUAUUAGAUAUAUUGAGAGCUUUAUUCAAAAUUCCAAGCUGUUGGCUCAAUUCCUGUUUCCACUCUUUUCUUUCCCUCCCCUUCCUCCUCUUGCUCCUCCUCCUCCGUUUAAAUCCUUAUAAAUAAUAAUCUUUUAAUUUGUCUUGCAUUUUUUUCUCCUUGCACAUUUGUACAUUUAAUCUCUUUAAGGUACAAAAAGAUUGGUACAAUUAUUCCUUUAAACCACUAGAUGUUGUCUUUUUGUUAUAUUUCUAUUACUUGGCUGUUGAAAAACAGUCUUUGUAUUCCAUAGAGAGUGAAAUUUCUUUGUUUACACUGUGCGGCUUUUCAAGGUCAGUUUCCAGGACAACUCAAUUCUUCUCAUUAAACUGGCAGAUUUUAGAUCACGGUUAAAUAAGGUUCUUCUAAAAUUCUUCUUAAAUUAUUUUACCACCACACUUCAUACUUCCAUUUAAAAUUAUUUUAUCUAAUUCUUCUGCAAUUAGUUGCUUGUGUUUAGUUGAAAUUCAUUUUCUUGUUCUUUCACCAUCUCUCCAUUUUUCCUUUUUUCCUCCCUCCACAUUUAGGACAUAAAUCUUCUUGUUUUUCUUUGUUUUCUUUAGCUUCUAAGGAUCUUCAGGGAUGUGGGGGUGUAGGUAUCAGCGCUAUAUAGCUGGAUUUACAGCAGCAAUCCAAUUCGUGUGUACUCCUUUCAGCCAUGCUGUUUUGAUGAGGCUGUUGUCACAGAAUCCCCUCUGAGGAAUUCUGCUGUCUGACAGUCCCUCUUUAGAAGCUGCUGUGCAAGAAGUUAUCACGUUACUUAGCCCUUAAUUUCAUGUAGCCUAGGCAGGGUUGUAGCCAGAAAAAAUGCCGGGGGGGGGGGGGGGUUGAAACAGUUUUUAGCGAAUCAUGAAGAGUAGUUCCAUAACACAAAAAUAAUUUAAAUAGUAUGGUUCAUUCUAUAUUUUUGUAUUGACUUAUUUAAAUAAAUUUCUACUUUAGUUACAAAGUUUCAAGUCUUACAAUAACUGAAAAUGACUGAUAAUUGGUAAUUUAUAGUUACACUAGCUGUGCCCGGCCACGCGUUGCUGUGGCAAAGUAUGGUGGUAUGGGAAAUAAAGUAUUGAGGAAUUGGUGGUAGUUAAGGUAAAGGGUAAAGGUUUUCCCCUGACAUUAAGUCCAUUAUAAAUGGGUUAUAUAGCUGUGUGGAAGGGCCUUGAGUCUACACUGCCAUAUAAUCCAGUUAAAAUCAGAUAAUUUGUAUUUUAUAGGCAGUGUGGAAGAGGCCUAAGCGAGGCCUAACUCUACCUGUCCCCUGGGCUGAGUGGGUUGUUAGGAGACCAAGUGGGCGGAGCUUAGCCUUCUAACAGGCAGCAAUUGGAUAAAAACAAUUAUUCCUCUCCCUCUAAUUAGGACUUUAUUUUUCUUUUCUUUUUGUUGUAUGAACGUAGAGGCAUGGAUGAGGGGUUGUGCUGCCAUGUUUAGUGUUUCUGGGAUGUGUGGUUUUGUUGUUUUGUCCUAGGCUGAAAUUUCAUUACCCUUUUAUAUAUAUAUAGAAAAUAAUACCACAAUGUCUGUUGGAAACACCUGAAAACUGUGUCAAUACACUUUGACAGAAAUCAGGCUCCAUCGACAAACUUCAAUGGGAACUCAUGAGUCCUUUCAGUCUUACUUGGCCCAUUGUGCUUCUUAUGUAUGUUUUCAAAUGCUUAAGACUUGAAAAUGACCUAUACACACACACACACACACACACACACACACACACAGAGUUUAAAUUGGCAUAUCUAAAAGUCAAGAUGAAUGACCCAUACAUAUUAUUAGGUUUUUUAGAAACUACAUAAUAUACCUUUAAUUUGGUACCUAAUUAUUCAAAAAUUACUUGGUAGUUUAGGAGGAAUCAAAGUAUAAACUUUUAAAGCAAACAGAAAUUAUUAUAGUUCUUAUACACUAGGAAACAUCAUAAAGUGUAUUUAAACUUACGUUUUUCUUAUGGAGUUUUUUGGGAUUACAAUCCUCCAAAUGGAUGAGGUUUGGCAUCUUAAAAGACAAAAGCACAGCCCUAAAAGAAACUCCCAGGGCAUUCACUAUAAUGAAUAUAAGUAAGAUUUAUAUUUAAUCUGUGUGUAUCUUACCCUAUGGCUGAGAGAUUGUGACUGCUUAAUUUCUGUGCCUUUCAGGGGGCUAGACUAUGAGCCUGAGCAAGCAGGACCUGGCACCUCCUCUCAAACACUGUAGAAAAUGGCACCCCCUGUGGCAGUAAAGCAAACAGCUUCUGCCAGGAAGGGCCCAACAUGUGGCCUAGCAUGAGGUGAAAAUACAGGUCUGAAGGCCACUGCCAGGAUUCCCACCCCAGACCAGGCAGUUGGCCAUAUAAUGAAGAUUUAUAUUUCCGAUAGUGUGUCUGCAUGUGUCUGUGCUUUGCUCUGAGGCCAAGAGGAUAUGACUGCACAACUUCCAGAACAGACCAGAUCAGAUGCCAUCUAGUUUGUUAGGCCAUGAGCCUGACCAGGCAGAAAUUGGGCCUUUCAGAUACAGGAGAAGACCACAUGGCCCCCUCCAGAAUGGUCCCAACCUGAGGCAACAACAGCCCAAAGGCAUGAAGCUCGACAUGAGGGCUGAACAAAAUGGAGACCUCCAAAUGAAGGCUUCCUAAUAUAUUUGCAAAGGCUAUAAAGCUGAACAUGAGGCCGAAAACAAGAUGAAUGCCUCCCAAUAUAAUGGCAAGAUUUAAAGCCUAAUGAGGCCUGAAACAAAAGAGAGCCCCCCCCCCCACAAAUAUAAUUGCAAGAACUUAAAGCCUAAUAUGAGGCCAAAGUUUAACUCCUAACAUGAGGCAUGCAAUAAAAUGUAGGACUCAGUAUGUGAUGACACAGUUAAUGAGUGGAAUUGCCUGUGCCUUCCUCUGGCUGAGAGAGUGUGACUCACUCAAGCAACAACUUACUAGGAUUUUAUUUUAAAGGGAGGAAGGCAAACCUCCUCUGCUACAGAAUGUGCCUUCCUUGAGGCAGCCCAGGAGGGGAACUCUACUUAGUGCAGCCACCCAAAACUCCACCCCAGCCCUAAUGGUCCGCUGCUGGUAAAUUCGUGCCAAUAAAUGCCAGUGGCAGAAACUACCCAAAUUGUAGGGUGUCCCCCUGAGGUAAAGGCAUAGCAAUGGGAAUCCUACCCUGUUUCCCCUAAAAUAAGACAUCCCCAGAAAAUAAGACCUAGUAGAAGUUUUGCUGAAUUGCUAAAUAUAAGGCCUCCCCCGAAAGUAAGACCUAGCAAAGGUUUAGUUUGGAAGCAUGCCCGCCAAACAGAACACCAGAGCAUGCAGGAUCGAUAAAUGUGUUGUACAUGGAAAUAAUGGUAGUAACAAGAAAUUCUUGUUAGGAUUCACAGUUUGUCUGGUUAUGCUGGUUUGUGAAGACAACUACUGUACAGUAUAUAAUAAAUGUUCAUUUUUUUUGUUCAACAAUAAAUGUGAAUUCUUCUUCAUGGAAAAAUAAGACAUCCCCUGAAAAUAAGACCUAGAGCAUUUUUGGGAGCAAAAAUUAAUAUAAGGCACUGUCUUAUUUUCGGGGAAACACGGUAUUAUCCUUUGGAAAAGGGGAGGGGAGGGAGCAAGGAGGGAAAGAACUAAUGCCCCAUUAGGAACCUGCCUCCUAAGAAGCAAAGAGCACAGCAGGUGGGCGGAGCAUCUUAAAUAGCCUGAAGCUUCACCCCUAUCAACCGACUCCACCAAGUCUGGUCUCCUCCAUGAGGGCCUUCAAAUUCCACCUGCAUGUCUUAGGAUUUUUCUAACAGUUAUGGGUGGGCCAGCUUGGUUGCUUCCACUAUAUCGGCAAAUAAUGACAGUGUUACUAAAUUGUCAAAAUUUCCUUGAGAUGGUGCUUGUAGUUCUGGAAGGACUUGUUUAAUUUUUGCUUCUCAUACACUUCACAUGGGGAUUUGGUUAACCAGUUAAAAUUCAUAAAUAAACCAGUUUUUUUAAACCUGAAUUUGGGGGGGGGGGGGGUGAAACCUUAAACCCCUAACCCCUACCCUUGGCUACAGCCCUGAGCAUAGGUACCCUUUCUGACCCAUUGUAAGGUUCUCAGAAAGCCCUAAAUUGUUUGCUAGUCAACAGCUGCCAGAGGUACCAGUUAUCUCGCCGCCAAAUUCCAGACUUCCAUGACCUUCCUUCAGGAGAUCACAUGAGAUCACGAGGCUAUGGAUAGGAAGCUGAAGGGCAUUGAUGCUCAGGUCGUCAGUUUGUCUCUCCUCCCAAUUCAAGGUCAUAGAAGAAUAAAAGAAGUGCAUUAUUGGCUUUGCAGAUGGUACCAUGAGGAACAAUUUUGACUUCCUGCACCAUAAUCUGAGGUUUAAUGACAUUUGGCCUCUGGCAAGGGAUGGUUUGCAUCUCAUAGAGAAUAGGAGAGGUUCCAGUACACCAGAGGAAAUAAAAUGUUGUUACCAUCUUCAAAAAAAAAAAAAAAAAAAAGGGGGGUGGUGGUGGUGGAUCCAAACAAUUACUGCCCAGUCAGUCUGCCAUUAAUACUAGGAUAGGUUUAGGAGCACUUAGAAAAGAAUGUCAUGCUCACAAAAAAUCAUCAUGGGUUUCUAAAAACAAGUCAUGCCAGAUAAAGCUUAUCUCUUUUUUUGAUAGAGUUAUAACCUUGGUAUAUGAAGAGAAUGCUGCAGAAGUGGCAUAUCUUGAUUUCAGUAAGGCCUUUAACAAGCCUCGCUUCCCUGGUAUAUUCACAAAGAAGCUAAUAUAAUGUGGGCAAGACAAUGCAAUGACUGCAGGAUUGGGAACUACUUAACCGGAAUGGAUCUUCUCCAUCCUGGAGAGAGUUGACAAGUGAGAUGCCACAGGAUUAUUCAACAUCUUUAUCAUUUAUUUGGAUCAUGGAAUCGAGGGCAUGCUUAUCAAAUUUGCAAAUGACAUCAAAUUAGAAAAGAUAGCCAGUGAUCCAGACGACAGGCCCAGAAGCCAAAAUUCCCUUAACAGAUGAUAGAGCUGGGCCAAAAAUCGCAAUAAAAAGAAUUUCAACGUGGAUAAAUGUAUGGUACUGCACUUAGGCAGAAGAAAAAUUAGAUGCACUGAUACAGGAUGGGUGACACCUGGCUUAAAAAUAAUACACAUUAAAAGGAUUUAGUAAACUACAAGUUGUGAUGUGGAAGCUAAAACAGCCAAUGCAAUUCUAGGCUCUAUCAAUAACAGCAUAGUGUCAGACCUCACCUGGAAUACUGUGCCUAGUUCUGGGAAAUUUGAGAAGGAUAUAAAAAAUUAGCAUGUGCCCAGAGAUGGGUGACCGCCAAACAAGUUUUGGAAACCAAGCCCUAUGAAGAACAGCUGUGGGAUCUUUGGGAGGUUUAACUUGGAAAAAAGAAGCCUGAGACGAGACAUGAUAGCCUUAUUGAAAUAUUUGAUCAAAAAUUUGAACAUGGCUAUCAGAUGUUCAUAUCAAAUGUUUAAACAUGAUAGCCAUAUCUAAAUAUUAGGUCUGGACACUUAGCAGAAUGCCUUAAGCAACCUAUAUGCUUUUGCCUGGUAAAGUGAGGGAUGGAGCUGCAUCAUUUUUCUAUCUCUUUCAGUUAUGAUACUGUAAAUAUGAAGGUCUUAAGAGCUACAGAUCAAGAGGAAAUAGCAAGUGUGUGUGUGUGUAUCCGUCAGUGUGACUAGGUUCAAAGUAAAGAUUUUGUUUCAUUCAGCCCAAAUUUGUAUCACAGAGCUGAUUAUUUAGACAAUUUCUAGGAAAAGUCUAAUACAAUUUCUAGGUGGUAGGAAUAAUGGUCAAAAAUGUAAACAAAGUUUUUGAGUUAAGGUUAUUGUACACUAUGUCACUGUUCAGUGAGAGAAAGAGUCGUAAUUGUUGUAGCUGCAUUCAGCCACAGGGUGGCAAUACAGGCAAGUACAUAACUGGAGAUAGACUUUUUCAUAUGCAAAACAUUUCACAGAGAGCUGGGGGUAGCACUGUUCCUGAAGUGGGAUAGCUCGCAUUUGUAUGAAAGGAUCAUGUUCAGGGGACCACUCCAAUUAGCAGAAGAAAAUUAAUCUCUUCAUCAGUCAAAGUCAUUAUAUUUGCAUAAGAAAUUGAAACAGAAGGGAAAGGGAGACAGAGAGGUGAGAAGCAUGGAAGACUACUUCAGGAGCAAACAAGGUCUGUGUUUUUUACUAUUCCUUUAUGUUACUGAUAUACUGUGUGUCUCAAUUCAUUAUUCCCUGCCUGAAGAGAAGAAAACUGGCUCUCUUGUGGCUAACGUGCUGAAGGAUUUGAAACUGGGAGUCGGAGAGCUCUCUGCUCGCAGAGCCCAGCUAGUGUCCAAAAGCUCUAAGCAGUAUUUCCGCCUUGAUACCCACUCUGGGAAUCUGCUCAUAAGUGACAAAAUAGACAGAGAGGCUCUGUGUGGACUAACUGAACCUUGUUUACUUGUCUCUCAAAUUGUGCUACAAAAUCCUCUGAAGAUCUAUAGUAUUGAAAUAAAGAUAGAGGAUGUUAAUGACAAUGCCCCCAAAUUCUCAAAAACUGAUUUCCAGUUUGAAAUUCCUGAGAACAUUCCCCCAAAUACAAGAUUUCCCUUGGAAUCUGCCCAGGAUGAAGACCUGGGAGAAAACAGUAUCCAAAACUACACCCUCAGUCCCAGUGAGUAUUUCCACCUGGGUGUGGAAAGCAAUACUGAUGGAAGCAAAUAUGUGACUCUCAUUCUGGAGAAAGCUCUGGACAGAGAGAAAGAGACCAAUUUGGUGCUGAUACUUACAGCUGUUGAUGGAGGAGUACCCCAGAGGACAGGCACAAUUCAAAUUAAUGUUAAUGUACUCGACAGUAAUGAUAACUUUCCUGAAUUUACUCAGUCUGAGUACAAGGCAAUAUUGAAGGAAAACUGUGCAAGGGAUACUUUGGUGUCCAGAGUAGAAGCAAGAGAUUUGGAUUUUGGAUCAAAUGCUCAGAUCACCUAUUCCUUCCAUCGAAUACCUGAAAAACUAUAUAAUCUGUUUCAUUUGAAUGAAAUGACUGGAGAAAUCACUACUUUUGGAGAAAUUGAUUAUGAAAAAGAAACCAAUUAUGAAAUGACUAUUAAAGCAACAGAUGGAGGGGGUCUUUUUGGGCACUGCAAGGUUCUGGUGGAGAUUGAGGACGUGAAUGAUAAUGCCCCAGAAGUCUCAGUCAUAUCGAUCAACAGCCCUUUGCCAGAGGAUACUCCACUUGAGACACUUGUUGUCCUAUUUAGUGUUGAAGAUCAAGAUUCUGGGGACAAUGGACAAACUCUUUGCUCUGUGGAUAUGAAUCUACCUUUUGUAUUAAAAGUUACUACAAAUAGCUUUUAUCAGCUUCUAAUCCAACGUCCCCUGGACAGAGAGAAAGUGUCAGAAUACAAUGUCACCAUCACAGCAAUGGAUCGUGGGUCUCCUAGGCUCACCUCAACAAGAAUUAUCAAUGUGCAGAUAUCAGAUGUUAAUGACAAUCCCCCAGUAUAUGAAAAAUCUUUGUUUGAAAUGCAGCUACAAGAAAAUAAUAUUCCAGGCCUACUAAUUGGCUCAGUCCAAGCUGUUGAUCUGGAUACAGAGCAGAAUGCCAAACUGUCCUACUCCCUUUUACCUGGGAACAUUGGUGGUGGCCCUGUGGCUUCUUACAUCUCCAUCAAUUCUGAAACAGGAAACAUGUAUGCCCUUCGAUCUCUGGACUAUGAGAAAAUAAAAGAUUUCAAAGUAACAGUAAAGGCAACUGACAGAGGCACUCCUUCUCUGAGUUCAGAUGUUGUUGUUCAUGUCAUUAUCACCGAUGAAAAUGACAACACUCCCUUCUUCCUGUAUCCCCUUCAGAACAGCACAUCUCCCUGCAAUGAGCUGCUUCCCAAGAUGGCAGAGGCCGGUUACCUGAUCACCAAAGUGGUGGCUGUGGAUGGAGAUUCUGGUCAGAACUCUUGGCUCUCCUAUGAACUCCUGAAGGCCACAGACCCUGCUCUUUUCAGCAUAGGAGCCCAGAAUGGAGAAGUGAGAACCAGGAGACCACUGACUGAGAGAGAUGCCAGCAAACAGAGGCUUGUUAUUGCAGUCAGAGACAAUGGUGUCCCUCCUCAGACCAGCACUGCAAUGCUCAAUAUUCUUCUGGUGGAUGGCUUUUCUGAUCCUUACCUGAAGGUGGUGGAUGUCCGUCAACAGGACCCAGAAGAUGAGGGAACCUUGACAAUGUACUUGGUGAUUUGCCUGGCAACUGUCUCUUUUGUGUUUCUCCUUUGCAUUGUUUCCUUUGUUGGGAUCAAGAUGUGCAAGAAAGACCAUGGAAGCAGUUUUAUUGUCGCUCCUCCUCACUUUCCACCUAAUAUUCCAGAGAAUUGUACCGAUUCUCAGAGCGGCUCACUUUCUAGGAAUUAUCCAUAUGAUGUUUGUUUAACGAAUGGAUCCCUGAGCAGUGAGUUCAGAUUUCUCCGCCCUCUCAUCCCUGUUUUUUCUGUAGCGGAUCCAAACAGUGCAGUAAACCACAACAACUCUUCUGUUUCCCAAGAACAUCCUGAGUGUUUGGAUGACAAUAAAGCAGGGGAGCAGGUGAGAGAUUAACAUAAUGGGGCUUGCAUUUUCCUUGGUCAUUAGCCAUUAUCAAUAUUCAUUUCUCCUUAUUUAUCUUCCUGUCAACUGCACAUAUUUUGCUUAGAGAUGUAGUUUUGUAAUAAUCUAUCUGUUCAUUUCAAAUAGUUGAGAACUAGUUCUGUUUUACUGCUGAACUAUCCCUCUCUCAGAAUUUCUUGUUCUCCAUUGCUUGUCCAUUUUUUUCAGUGUUCAUCUUUUUUUGUGUAACCAUACCUCUAUUCUUCAUGUCUUGCAGCUGUAUAUCUCAAACCUUUUUAUGCAUCUCUACAUUUUUCUUCAGCAAUUGUAUUAUUUAAACUCUGUUGCUCUUGGUGCAUUGUCUUAUAGGUCCUUUCCAAGUAGUGCUUCAUGUAGUUUUUUAUCAUGUCAGAAGCGACUUCAGAACAUACUGCAAGUCACUUCUGGUGUGAGAAAACUGGCCGUCUUCAGAGACGUUGCCCAGGGGAUGCCCAGAUGUAUUACCUUCUGCUGGGAGGCUUCUCUCAUGUCCCUGCAAGCUAGAACUGACAGUCAGGAGCUCACUCCAUCUCACGGAUUCAAACUUGCAACCUUCAGGUCAGCAACCCAACCUUCAGGUCAGCACAAGGGUUUAACCCAUUGCUCCACUAUGGUUCCUUGCUUCAUGUAGUUAAUCAAAAAUUAUCUAGGCAUGUUUGAUAACUAACCAAUUAUGUAUUGAUAAUAGCUUUUUAUAUUUUAAAAAACUCACAUCAAAAAAUCUAUAUUAUCUGAUUGAACCAGAGUUUCCAGGUAUAUGCACAUGCAGUUAGAAAUUGUGAUAAUUAUUAGGUCAUUUUGAAUAAUAUUAAACUGUUAAAUCAAUUUAGGUAAUAUUGAUGGCUUUUUAUAUGAAUGUAACAUUUUAUUAAUGGGAUAUUGAUGAUUAAAGUAACAAACUAUUUCUUUUUUUCUGAUAAUAUUUUAAGCAAAUGCUUUUAAAGCCAAUAUACUAUUUUAGAUCCAAUAUUUACAUGCUGUGGUAUGUUUAUUUUCAUAUUUUCACAACAUUCAUAUGCCUUAUAUAUGAGUCCUGUGUCUGAAAGAACACUAGGUUUUCAUCUUUAUGGAUUCUCUAUAUUCACAAUCUCCACACUUCUCUAAGCCAACAUGUAUAAAAAUCCUGCUAUCUAGACCUUUGGUAAAAAGAACAGGAAAUAUUGUGGAAGGGAGGGGUGUUAGCGUUCCCCUCGUCAUUCAUAAUUCCAUUUCCUUCUAUUCAUGAUGAAAGCUGUGGCUGAAGUAGAGGACUGCUAUGUCCAUUGAGGAUGGCCACAUAAGUUAGAAAUAUGGUGUCAAUUUUCUUUUCCAAAUUUUAAAUGUAUUUUUAUUAAAUUUUAACCAUAUAUGCAAUACUAGCUGUGCCCGGCCACACGUUGCUGUGGCGUUGUCUGGUGGUGUUGGUGAGAAAUUAUUGAGGUAGUGGUGGUAUUGAAUGUGUGUUGUAUGGUUGUCUUUAUGUUUAGUAUGCAUUUGGUUGUGUGUGUACUGUGAAAGUGGUGAGGGUAGAGGGGGUCUAUGUCCCUGUGUAGUAUUGUAUACUAUUUAUACAUUGUCCGUGUGUUGUGAAUGCUUGGAUUGUGUCCUGCUGCAUAGUAGAAAGGGUUGGGCUGGAUGGUCCUUAGGGGUCUUUCCAAACUCUUGUGCCUGUCCCCUGGGCUGAGUAGGUUUCUAGGAAACCAAGUGGGUUGAACUUAGCCUUGUAACUGGCAGCAAUUGGAUAAAAACAAUUAUUCCUCUCCCUCUAAUUAGGACUUUCUUUUUCUUUUCUUUUUGUUGUAUCAACCUAGAGCCGUGGAUGAUGGGUUGUGUCAUCAAAUUUCGAGGUUGGGGGGCCUGUAGUUUUGUUGUUUUGUCCGCUGCCCUGAUGCCAUCACUCUUUUAUAUAUAUAGAUUACACCAAUAAACCUAAUUUAAAAUCUUGGUUUUGUCUCAUACACCCUUUUUCACUUAUGUUUACAAAUUUCUUUCCUUUUUUAAUAAUUUUUAUUCAGAAUUUUUACAAAUAGAAUAAAAAAGAAAAAAACCCUCCAAAUUGAAAAGGAAAACACGAAAUAAGACAUUAGGGUAAAAAUACAAAGCCCAGUCUAAAGGAAUAAACAAGAAGAAAAAAAGAAAAAGAAAAGGAAUAAAGGAUAGUUUUUGGUCUUCCAUUCUUUGCUCAUUGCGUUUUCCUUUCAAGUAUGUAUCAUCUUUUCUUACAUUUCUGGUCUCUCCUUAUUUUCUGUCCUUGGGACUCUUUUUUACUAUAUUAAGUCCUUCUUUCUAUAUUCUUUGUAUGUCUUCCGAUCUGUUCUCCUUAGUGGUUUACCAUUACUUUCCUUCAAAAGGAAAGUUAAUCUGUCCAUAUCAUGGAUUUCGUCACGUUUGUCUAGCCAUUGUUCGUUCAUAGGGAUUCCUUGCAUUUUCCAACAUCUUGCAAAGGUAAUUCUUGCCGCAGUAGUUAUGUAAGUAAAUAAAAGGUCUUCAUUCUGGUUAAAGUCCACUGCUCCAUCCAUUAAUCCUAAAAGGUAAUAUUCCGCUUUCAUAGGGAAUGUUUUCUUCAUAAUUUUCUGCGUUAUUUCGUGAAUUCUUUUCCAAUAUCUUGUUGUUUCUGUGCAAGUCCACCAUGCAUGAUAAAAUGUUCCCUCAUGCUUUCUACAUUUCCAACAAUUUUUCUGAAUAUCUUUGUACAUAGAUCCUAAUUUCUUUGGUGUUAGAUACCAAUACAAUACCCAUACAAUAAACAAAACAACAUUAAAAACACACACACAGGAAGGUGGAUAGCAAUCUGCCCAUAACACACAUGAUCCUGCUUGGUCACUUCACUCACCAAGAGAUGGAUCAACAGCAAAUACUUGCCACCACAUGCACAAGUUGCGGCAUGUUCAUGUUGUUUGCACAACAACUACUCAACUACACCUGCACCAAGUGUAAACAGAUGACUCUGAUGGAGCAGAGCAGGGGUCCUCAAACUUUUAAAGCAGAGGGCCGGUCCACAAUCCUUCAGACUGUUGAGGGGCCAAAUGAUCAUUUGAAGAAAAAAAUGAACAAAUUCCUAUGCACACUGCAUAUGUCUUAUUUGUAGUGCAACAACAACAACAACAACAACAAUGAAAGAAAAAUACAAUAUUUAAAAAUAAAAACAAUUUUAACCAACUCAAACCGAUCAGGAUUUCAAUGGGAAGUGUGGACCUGUUUCUGGCCAACAAGAUAGUCAAGUUAAUUAGGAUUAUUGUUGUUGUGUGCCUUCAAGUCAUUUCAGAUUUUGAGCGAGCCUAAGUCAAAAUUUAUUUUUAUUUAUUUAUUUACUACAUUUAUAUCCUGUCCUUCUCACCCCGAAGGGGACUCAGAGCGGCUUACAAUUUAUAUCUAUAUACAAUAAAUUAUAUUAUAGCAUAGAACAAUAUUAGCAUUAUAUAUUACUAUAUUGAAUAAUACCACUAUAUUGUAAUAUUAUUAGUAAUAUUACAUGUAAUAUAUAAUACAUAAUUAAUAUUAUUAUAUGGUAUUAUUAUUAGUAUUACAUUGUAAUAUUUCUAUCAAUAUUAUAUGUAUAUACAAUAUUAUAUUAUUAAAACUGAUAUAAAAAUAUUAUAUUAUAAAACUGAGGGCAGGGGCCAGGUAAAUGACCUUGGAGGGCCACAUCCGGCCCCCGGGCCUUAGUUUGGGGACCCCUGGAGCAGAGGAUCCAACAACUCGAGGCCUGCAUUAAGACCCUUAAGGACAUUCAGGCAUUCGAGCUCUUCUUGGACACUGCACAACAUGCUGCUGUAGAUCUGCUGUAGAUCUGCAGCCUGCAUCACACCAACACCGCCAUGAUCAGGAACUUUAUGGGGAGAUCAACUCAAAAGUAGACAACCCUCAGGCUUGGAAGGAGGUCAUCCAUAGAAAGAGACACAGGACCAGGCAGCCUCCGCAGAACUCCUUUGCUCAGCUGGAUUUACACAACAGAUUCCAAAUUCUUACACCACUAACAUACAAUCAGGAAACACAUCUUGUGGAGGGAGGACCACAGUUACUUAGCUACCACUCAGUGGGCCACCCUUGAUCAAUGCACAGGGGAUAGCCCUGACGGGGACAGUGCAUCACCACAUUCACACUUAUGUAAUAAUGCAAAUGCUCCAUCCCCAAUCGUAAACCAGGAGCAACAGGAACAUCCUUGGGAGAGUGAUGGGCUCUCGGACACAUCUCAAUGGAUUGUCAUUGAUGAAUGCACUGGGGAUGUUGAGGAGGAGGACAACACUUUACACCUACAUAAUUCACUUCAACAGGAACACUCUUCAGGGGACAUGCACACUGUCUUGCCCAAAAGGGACCCUGUCAAUCCUCAAAGGAAACAGGUCUUGGUAGUAGGUGACUCCCUCCUUAGAGGAACGGAAGCCAUCAUUUCCAAACCAGAUGGGAUGGCUCGAGAAAUAUGAUGCCUCCCAGGGGCAAAAAUACACCAUAUCACUCAGAGACUCAGCAGGCUCCUAAAGCCCCGUCACCCUCCCCACCUUAUGUUGAUUCAUGUAGGAACCAAUGACACAGCUAGGCAUACUUUUCAAAAGAUCAAAAAUGAUUUUCAAGCUCUGAGAACAAAGCUAAAACUGUAUAAUGUACAUGUGAUCUUUUCAUCCCUCCUCCCCGUUGUAGGACACAGCUCUACAAGGGCCGGAAAAAUAGUACAGGUCAAUAACUGGCUCAGAAAAUGGUGUCAAGAGGAGCAUUUUGGCUUUCUUGACCAUGGUCUACUCUUCCAGGAGGAUGGCCUACUGGCAAGUGAUGGGCUGCAUCUCACACAAGUAAGAAAACAUCUUUUUGCACACAGACUCAUAAACCUCAUCAGGCACACUUUAAACUAGAUCCACUGGGGGAAGGGAACAACAGUCUGGCAAACACUAUAUUACCCACGACCACAGGGAACCGCCAAAAGGCUAAACGGAGGGCUGCACAAACACAGCAACGACCAAGUCCUGAGAGCACAAUAAUCCCAAAUAAACAGCUCGGGGGAAGGUCACAGGGGCUUACAUGUCUUUACACUAAUGCACAGAGCAUGGGAAAUAAGCAAGACGAACUCCAACUUAUAGCACAGAACCACACAUACGACAUCAAAGGCAUCACUGAAACCUGGUGGGAUGACUCCCAUCACUGGAAUGUAGCCAUUGAGGGCUAUAACCUCUUUCACAGAAAUAGAACAAAGGAGAGAGGAGGGGGAGUAGCUUUAUAUGUUAAAAACAGUUAAGUUGCAGAAGAAAUGCAAGACUGUAAUCCAGGAAACCAGCUUGAAAGCAUCUGGAUAAGAAUCAAGGGAACCGGGACUCAAAAAGAUCUCGUCAUGGGUGUCUACUACAGACCUCCAAACCAGGAUGAAGAACUUGAUGAAGCCUUCUGUCAGCAGCUAACCAAACAGGCACAAAGAAGAGAUAUAGUAGUCAUGGGUGACUUCAACUAUCCUGAUAUCUGCUGGAAAACAAACUUGGCCAAGAGCACAAAGUCCAACAAAUUCCUCACUUGCCUUGCAGACAAUUUUAUGGUCCAGAAGGUAGAAGAGGCAACAAGGGGAUCAGCAACUCUUGAUCUAAUCUUAACAAAUGUGGAAGACCAGAUCAAAACAGUAGAAGUCAUCAGAUCCUUAGAGGCAAGUGACCAUGUGCUCCUGCAGUUUGCCAUACAAAGGAAGGCUGAAACUAAGACAAGUCAAACACGCAUUCUGGACUUUAAGAGAGCUGACUUCCAAAAAAUCAAGGAAAAUGAAGGCUUAAUGCCUUUUUUGCCUCAUUCUUCUCACAAAAAGAAAGCCAUCCUCAACCUCAGCAACAUGAAAUGGACGAAGGAUUUGGGGAAAUCCAACCCCAGAUAGGGAGACAAGUUGUCCAGGAACACCUGGCUGCUCUAAACGAAUUCAAGUCCCCAGGGCCAGAUCAGCUACAUCCAAGAGUAUUGAAGGAACUAGCUGAGGUUAUUUCAGAACCACUGACAAUUAUCUUCAAGAGUUCUUCGAGAACAGGAGAAGUCCCAGAAGAUUGGAGGAGGACAAAUGUGGUCCCUAUCUUCAAGAAGGGAAAAAAGAACAACCCAAACAAUUACCGUCCGGUCAGCCUCAUAUCAAUACCAGGCAAGAUUCUGGAAAAGAUCAUUAAGGAAGUGGUCUGCAAACACUUAGAAACAAAUGCUAAUAGUCAACACGGAUUUACCAAAAACAAGUCAUGCCAGACUAAUCUGAUCUCUUUUUUCGAUAGAGUUACAAGUUGGGUCGAUACAGGGAAUGCCAUGGAUGUACCGUACCUAGAUUUCAGUAAGGCCUUCGGCAAGUCCCUCAUGACCUUCUGGCAAACAAACUAGUAAAAUGUGAGCUAGACAAAACUACGGUUAGGUGGAUCUGUAAUUGGCUAAGAAAACGAACCCAAAGGGUGCUGACCAAUGUGUCGUCUUCAUCUUCGAAGGAAGUCACGAGUGGAGUGCCGCAGGGUUCCGUCCUGGGCCUGGUUCUCUUUAACAUCUUUAUUAAAGACUUAGACGAAGGGUUAGAAGGCACGAUCAUCAAGUUUGCAGAUGACACCAAACUGGGAGGGAUAGCCAACACUCCAGAAGACAGGAGCAGAAUUCAAAACGAUCUUGACAGACUAGAGAGAUGGGCCGAAACUAACAAAAUGAAGUUCAACAGGGAUAAAUGCAAGAUACUUCAUUUCGGCAGAAAAAAUGGAAUGCAAAGAUACAGAAUGGGGAACGCCUGGCUCGACAGCAGUACGUGUGAAAAAGAUCUUGGAGUCCUUGUGGACAACAAGUUAAACGAGCCAGCAAUGUGAUGCGGCUGCUAAGAAAGCCAAUGGGAUUCUGGCCUGCAUCAAUAGGGGUAUAGCAUCUAGAUCCAGGGAAGUCAUGCUCUCCCUCUAUUCUGCCUUGGUCAGACCACACCUGGAAUACUGUGUCCAAUUCUGGGCACCACAGUUGAAGGGAGAUGUUGACAAGCUGGAAUGUGUCCAGAGGAGGGCAACUAAAAUGAUCAAAGGUCUGGAGAACAAGCCCUAUGAGGAGAGGCUUAAAGAAUUGGGCAUCUUUAGCCUGCAGAAGAGAAGGCUGAGAGGAGACAUGAUAGCCAUGUACAAAUAUGUGAGAGGAAGUCAUAGGAGGAGGAAGCAAGCUUGUUUUCUGCUGCCCUGAAAACUAGGACACGGAACAAUGGCUUCAAACUACAGGAAAGGAGAUUCCACCUGAACAUCAGGAAGAACUUCCUCACUGUGAGGGCUGUUCGGCAGUGGAACUCUCUCCCCCGGACUGUGGUGGAGGCUCCUUCUUUGGAAGCUUUUAAACAGAGGCUGGAUGGCCAUCUGUCGGGGGUGCUUUGAAUGCGAUUUCCUGCUUCUUGGCAGACCGUUGGACUGGAUGUCCCAUGAGGUCUCUUCCAACUCUACUAUUCUAUGAUUCUAUGAUUCUACCAGCGAUGGAACAUCUCAAGCCAUUUUCUUGUAAAUCUGAAGAAUACGUGUAUUUUAAUUUUUGUUCCAUAUUAACUCUCAUUCUGCUAACCUAAUUGAGCAUCCAAAAUUUUUUGCCCAUUCUAUCAUACAUUUCUUUAUUUCCUCAGUUGUUGUGGACUAUUCUACCAACUGGUUAUAUAUGAUAGUAAUAUCUUUCUUAUUGCUUUGUAACAUUUUAUCCCAAAAAAAAAUUUACUUCACUAAAUCCUGUUUCUUUAUCCUUCACAAAUUGCUCUUUGAUUUGUGCAACCACGUCUCAGCUCAAAACUUUCUAGCGCUAAGAUAUUCUUAUUUUGUAGUAAUGUCCAGUCUUUUAACCAUAAUAAUGCACACACUUCAAAGUAAAGUUUUAAAUUUGGGAGGCCAAAGCCUCCCUUCUUUUUUGUGUCCGUCAUUAUUGUAUAUCUUAUUCUUGGUCUCUUUCCUUUCCAAAUAAAUUUUGUAAUUUCUUUAUUCCACUUAUUAAAGAUCUUGUUGUUUCUUAUUAUUGGCAAAUUUUGAAAUAAAUACAACAAUUUCAGUAGAAUAUUCAUUUUUACUAUUGCUAUACGACCUAAUAGUGAAAUAUUCAAAUUCUUCCAAUUUUGCAAGUCCUUCACUAUUUCUUUCCACUUCUCUUGGUAAUUAUUCUUUAAUAACUGUGCAUUUUUCACAGUAAGCCAGAUUCCUAGAUAUUUCUUUCCCGUCAAUCUUUUUACAAAUAAAUUAUUUUCUACUAAAUUUCCUAAUUUUAUUAAUAGUUAUAUCUUCUCCACAUCAUUUGUCCAAAAUGUCACCAAUUUAAAUCUGCUAUUGCUCUGGCACAUAUAGCUGAAUUUCUCCCAGUCCUCUUAUUUCCUGCCUUUUUUGAAUAUCCCAUUUUCAUUUUCUUUUCAUCCUACAUUCAUUCUGAUAUCAGAGAUUUCAUAUUUUUCUCCACACUGAAUUCACACAAAAUGUUAAUUCCCCCCUAAUUAAUAGUCUCUUGCAUUUGUAUGGAACUGUUAUCUGUUUCUGUUUGUCUCAUUUGUACAACCCACUUUCUGUUUCCUUCUGCCACUUCUGAAAAUGAGUGCCUAUCCAAAUGAGCUAUGUCUUCCAAGGUCCCACUUUGCCUGGCUUCCAUGAGGAAAGAGCAGCAGGGCAAAUCUGUAAUUCCGCUUGAAGCUCCCUGUCAGCAACACUUUCUCCAUUACACAGGGAAAGCAUCAUCCUCAUGGAGAAGCCCUGUGCUAGCUCCAUUAAAGCCAGCACAACACAGGAAGCCUCCCAUGUUGGGGGAAAAGCGUCCGGUGACACUUUCAUCAUGGUUCUAGGCAGGGCCUCCUUCAGAUGUCACACAACAUCCUGUGAUGUCUGGCAUCAGGCUGCGUCCAUUAGACAGGGUGAAAGCAUACUAGGAUCCUGAAUUCACCCUGCCAAGGCAGCAGAAACCAAGCUUGCUACCUCCUCCUUAUGACGUCCUUUCACAUACUUAUACAUCACAAUCAUUUCUUAUGUGGCUGCUAAAACAGCCAAUGCAAUUCUAAACUGUAUCAAUAAUAGCAUAGUGUCAAGCCUCGCCUGGAAUACUGUGUCCAGUUCUGGGCAAUUCGAAAAAGAUAUGACAAGCUAGAAUGUGUCCAGAGAAGGGCAACCUAAAUUAUCCAAAUUUUGGAAACCAAGUCCUAUGAAGAACAGCUGAGGAAGCUUAGGUAAGUUGAACUUGGAAAAAAGAAGACUGAGUGGAAACAUGAUAGGCACAUUUAAAUAUUUCAUUAAAUAUUUGAACAUGGCUAUAGAUGUCCACAUCAAAUAUUUAAACAUGAUAGCUAUAUUUAAAUAUUUAGUGUGGACACUGUUCAGUAUGCCAUAAGCAACCUAUUUCUUUUUGCCUGGUAAAGUGAAGGAUAGAUCUGCAUAAUUUUUUUGCCUCUCAGUUAUGAAACUAAAUUUUAAAGUCUUCUUGUACACUGUUCAGUGAGAGAAACAGUUGUAGUAGUUGUAGCUUCAUUCAGCCACAGGGUGGCAAUAUAAGCAAAUACAUAACUGGAGACAGACUUUUUCAUGUGCAAACCAAUUCAGAGAAAAUUGGGUGUAGAAUUGUUCGUGAAGCGAGAUAGCUAAAAAGGGAAGAGAAAGAGAGAGGCUUGAACCAUGGAAGACUGCUUCAGGAGCAAACAAGGUCCAAGCUUCUCUCACUGAAGAUGCAGCUCCCAGAUCAGGAGGCCCAGGUUGCACAGUUAAUCAAGCCAUAGGUGCAAAUGCAAACUCAGGUCAAAAUGACUGGCUUUCCUAUCAAUAGAAGAGGAUAAUCCACUCAGCCCAUCGUCUCUUCUCUGCAGGAAGGAAGAUAAAAGGGCCAAGAGACAAAGAUUCAGGCAGCCAGAGGACAUGGGUCCUCUUCCUAAAAACGAAAGACAUCAGGCAUGAAGACUUGAAAAUGCUUUUGUUUGGGCCGAAUUGAAAUGAACAGGAGUACCCUUGUGGUGCUCCCUUUUAUUUCAAUGGGUUCUGCGUAAGAGAAUUUAGAGUUGGAUUGUGCCCAUCCACUUCCCAGGUAUAUAACUGCAUAAUUAUUUAUGUUAUAUAAGAUUUUGCAAUAGACUACUGCUUUUCUGGCUAGCUUUUAAAGAAACAUAGGAGACCCUAUUGCAUGCUUUUUGCUGUCGUGAUUCGACCUUAGUUUAUAAUCAUUAGACAUUCUUUCUGCUCUUCUCAAAAUAUUUUCAAUUGCUUAUACCAACCUUUCAGGUGUUCUCGUCAUUGAUUUUUCUCAUAUAGAGUAUUGCAAAGCAGCUGUUCUUAAUGAAUUCAUAGCAAAACAACUGAAUGAAUACACUUAAUAAUAAAGAGAAGAAAAUGGUGGACACUGUCCAGCAGGAAUUUGAAAGAAAUGGCAGUUUCAUAAAGGAAGAGCAGUUCUAUUCAUUUCAGUUCCAAGUGAAAAUUUUGUUUCUCGGAAAACUGUUCUGUUUAUUUCCUAGUUGUAUUUUAAACUAUCUGUGCACUUGCCUGUCUGAAUGCUUAAUUCUACCACUUUCUGUAAAGAUAUUUGUGCUGGUAACCUUCCUUGUGUCCACAUGUCCAAACAUGCAUACCACGUUGCCUGAGAUUUCAGGGCCCAAACAUGAAGGCUAUUGGGCUUAUGAUGGCACAGGGGCAGGGACUUCUGAUGUUAUGGGAGAGGGGGCAGCAAAUGUUGGCAACUAAGCCAAAACUUAUUCUGAUUCAACUGAUUAUGGUAAUAUGCAUGAAGGCAAUCGGGCUGAGUGGAAUCAAAAAUAAGAUAAACCCCACCAAACAGGUAAUGGGAAUAUCAAACUCAGGAGGAAGAAUAAUUGGACCAAGAUCCUACAUCAGGAGAUAUAACUAUGGAAUCUUAGCUUUAUCCCUGUAGCCACAUCUUCCAAUGACUGCCCCCUUACCCAAAAACAUCCACCUUACAAGCAGUGCAUCUUGUCCCAAUAUGACAAUUUCUGUGCUGCUAAAAAGCAAGGAGGCACUGCACUGCUUCAGAGGUAUGUUUCAGGAGACCUUUGGUUAUUAUGUGAUCAGAAGAGAUAUCUGACCUAUGCACUGGCCAUAAAAAUGAAUUGCAGCUGUGCGAAUCACUCGUGCAGCAUUGCAAUUCAUGAACAGCAUGCCAACCCAGGUAUUUUUGGUAGGUAGAAUAAUAUAUCUAGUAUCUGCAGUUGUUGCAAGUACUCUCACUAGGGCUCGCAGUCCAUGUGGCCUUAACCUACAGGGAACCUUCUGAACCAGGGGUUUUUGAGGGGCCCUUUGCAGCUGCUGGAACUUAUAAAUGGCUCACCUCCAGCAGUCAGGAGUUUUUCACCAGAUUAUGUACUGGGGCUGUAACCGGUUCUAUAACACAAAAGCUUAAGGAUUGUGACAUGUGCCCCAUUCCUUCCUUUCAUUAAAUAGCACCUUGAUCCUAAGUGCAUGCACCUACCAUCUCUUUCCUUAGUUCCAAGUCGUCAUUCCCUGGGUUUUUGACACACCAACAUUGCACAAGCACAACAUACAUACAGUCUCUUCGCACUAAUCACAAGAGCUCUGGUGCCAUUUUGGAAUGGGUGGAGGUGUAUGUCCAGAGCUUAAAAUAGCCUUGCAUAUAAAAAUUAUACUUUCUCCAGUAUUAUUUCCCUGAGAUUUGUCUUCCCACCAGGAGAUCUGUAAUAUUAUAGAAAUUCCUCGAGAUUUCAGCUGGUAUUGUGAGAAUUGGCAGCUGUAAUAAACACACACACACACACACACACAUAUAUAUAUAUAUAUAUAUAAAGGUUAUUCUUAUUUUCCUUUGAUUUAUCCCCCUGAGUCAAAUUCAGAUUAAGAAAAAUGUGGAAGCUAAUCCUUUGAAACAUUUAAAGGAGAAUUAAACCUGCAUUUGAAAAUGACACUGUGCCCACUUAUUCAUGUUCCAAAACAAACAAACAAGCAAGGGACCAUUAAAAUAGACCCAACUGUAGACCCCUAAUAAAGUGUUUCUGUAAACAGUUCUUAAAAGUAGUACAGACUCUACUAUGACUGUGUGCUUUUACAGUUAAGUGUUUAUGCAGUUGUGUGGGCUGGAUAGAGUUUUCUGCAAACCUUUUUGCUUUGAGAAUUGUGCUAUGCUUGGACAGUGUCAAUAAUUCACAAUGAUAGAUUAUUAUGAACCCUGUUUGAUGAACAAAUAGCUAAUAGUCUUAUAGUGAAAGCAAGCUAAGUAGUAUAAGAGUGCAAUUCACACACUACUGGAACAAUCAUGAAAAUACACUAUUUUCUUAAAGAUGUGAAAUGCACCGAUUUCUUGUUAUGCGCCGUCUUUUUUGUGUUAUGAUUAAAUAAACGGUGUAGUUUUUCAUAUUGUUUGCUAAAUUUAAUAUUGAGUUUGUAUGUAUUUAAAAUAAACACAAUUUCUAAAAUC